rnacentral:tRNA from 1 species
AGGGGUGUCGUUCAGUGGUAGGACAGUCCUCUCCAAAAGGACAAACGAGGGUUCGAUUCCUUCCGCCCCUG